ensembl:misc_RNA Metazoa_SRP Metazoan signal recognition particle RNA
GCCGGGCGUGGUGGCGGGUGCCUGUAGUCCCAGCUACUCGGGAGGCUGAGGCAGGAGAAUCACUCAAACCCAGGAGGCGGAGGUUGCAGUGAGCUGAGAUCGUGCCACUGCAUUCCAGCCUGGGUGACAGAGUGAGACUCUGUCUCAA